rnacentral:lncRNA from 1 species
AGAGAGAGCCAGAGUUGCCAUAGCCGGCCUGGCAGCACAAGCCCGGAGCCGACACGGGGCCACAGCCACGAUGCAGCCACUCCCACUGACCCUGGGGCUGAACCUGCUUUCCACGCUGUGAUCCCAGGGGACCCAGGUGGUUCCCGCCCCUGCUGAGAAGGUGGAAGGACUGUGGCACGCCCUGCGCUGGGAGCAGGACAGGGAGCUACUUAAAGAGGAGACGGCUCACCCUCUGCCACCAUUCUGGAUCCAGCGCUUCCAGGGUAACUUAUGUUACAAAUGACGGUAAGUUUCAGUCAGCAGGUCCCUUUUUAAUUGGACCAUGUGCUAAAGAACGCCACACACAGAGGGCUUGCUCAGGCUCCAGGCUCAGCCCAGGACCUUCCUGCCCCAAGCGCCUCACCACAAUCUCUCACAGGCACUUCUGUAAGAUGGGACAGUCCAGUUGCAGGAAAACGAGCUCAGGGCUCCCACAGAUUCUCCACUAUGUGGGAACUGCACAGUAUUUAAGACACUGCUGGUGAAAACAGACAACUCUACCACGUACAGAAUCUAUUCCUGCGUAGUCAGCUGUAACUUAGGUGAGUGCCGCAAGGCCUCCACGUGUGUUCAGAGUGUCCACACCAGACUCUGGCCGGACUCCGUGGGUCCUGGGACUCUGCAGCCCUCGACCUUGGCAGCCUCCUUGCCUUCGGGUGCUUGAAUGCCAUGCAGCAUCCGAUGCAACCCACGACCUUGAGUCUAUUAUGAGUCAAGUGUGGUCGCUGUAGAUAAGGAUGAAAAAAGAUCAUGAAAAAGAACAACAACAGCAAAAUCACUCAUGGCCUGGCGUGGUGGCUCACGCCUGUAAUUCCAGCACUUUGGGAGGC